rnacentral:rRNA from 1 species
GACGAACGCUGGCGGCGUGCCUAAUACAUGCAAGUCGAGCGAAUCAACAGGAGCUUGCUCCCAAAGGUUAGCGGCGGACGGGUGAGUAACACGUGGGCAACCUGCCUGUAAGACUGGGAUAACACCGGGAAACCGGUGCUAAUACCGGAUAAUUCUUCUCCACUCAUGUGGAGAAGCUGAAAGUCGGUUCCGGCUGACACUUACAGAUGGGCCCGCGGCGCAUUAGCUAGUUGGUGAGGUAACGGCUCACCAAGGCGACGAUGCGUAGCCGACCUGAGAGGGUGAUCGGCCACACUGGGACUGAGACACGGCCCAGACUCCUACGGGAGGCAGCAGUAGGGAAUCUUCCGCAAUGGACGAAAGUCUGACGGAGCAACGCCGCGUGAGUGAUGAAGGCCUUCGGGUCGUAAAACUCUGUUGUCAGGGAAGAACAAGUAUCGGAGUAACUGCCGGUACCUUGACGGUACCUGACCAGAAAGCCACGGCUAACUACGUGCCAGCAGCCGCCGUAAUAC